UACAGAGGUCCCGAGCGUUGUUCGGAUUCAUUGGGCGUAAAGGGUGCGUAGGCGGUCUUCUAAGUUUGAUGUGAAAUCCCGGGGCUCAACCCUGGCAUGGCAUUGAAUACUGGAGGACUAGAGUACCGGAGAGGAAACUGGAAUUUACGGUGUAGCAGUGAAAUGCGUAGAUAUCAAGUGGAACACCAGUGGCGAAGGCGAGUCUCUGGACAUUUCCUGACGCUGAGGCACGAAAGCCAGGGGAGCAAACGGG
rnacentral:rRNA from 1 species